CUUGCACUGCCUGAACUGUGAUUUCUGCAUGGGCCCAGCCUGCGCUUGCAAGAAAGUUGGGUGGAUCAGGACCUUGGGUGCCCACAGCUUUGUGAGUACUUUGUUCUGCAGCAGGGACUAGAAAAUGAGACAGGUGACAAGUGAUGGGACAUGAAGUAACAGCAUCAAAUUGCACCAUGAGGAGUUUAGAUUGGAUAUUGGGAACAAUUUCUUCAAGGAAAGGAUGGUUAGGCUGGAAUGGUCUACCUACUGAAGUGAUGGAGACCCUUUCCUGGAAGAGAGGAGAAAACCUGGAUGCCUGGAGUCUCAGUGAUGCAGAAAAUUUGGAUGGAACCUCGCUGGAAGAGCAUCCUGAAGUUAUGAAAAAGCAAAUCUAAACCUUUAAGAACAUUUCUACAAAUCAGGUUCUUCAGAAAAGAAAUUGUUAUUGCAGAAAUUUUCAUUGGCUUUUAUAAUUUUCAUUUAGUAUUAGCCACUAUAUUCUUUUUUUCUAUUUUUCCUUACCAUCUGAAGUGCCAAGUCCUAUUUCACUUUCCCUUUGCCUAUAAGCAAGCAGUUAAUCAAAAAGAAGCACUAAAACCACAGAGAAAUGGGAAUAGUGUAGAAGAGAAAAAACUAGGCUUGCUAAGGGAGCUGAAGAGACGAGAGAAGAGGAAAAUUGGAGACAAUCUUCUGUAUCCACCUACCACAUCCUUCAGUGCUUAUUCCAUCAUCUGUUCAGAGAAAGAUAUAAGGUAAGGAGUCUUCAUCCAGUAUGACCUCUGCUCCCAAGAGUUAACAGGGGUGAGCAGGCAUCUCUCUGUGCCUCUGUAAACACUGAAGCUUGGGUGGAAAUAAAAAAAAGCAUACAUUUCUAAAAAGGCCAAUAACUAUUGAGCCUCUCUGCUAAAAGACACAGAAGAGACCCACAAGUGGGUUGACUUGUAUGUGGACUUGCAUGUGGUUUCUACUAUGUAAAUGGAAAUAACCAGUGAUCACUCAGAUGAAAUUAUUCCUUCUGACAGAACCAUGGCCAUCCCAGCUACAACCCUGUUAAUGCUGAAUAUUUUCUGCCCUUCCCAGACCUCUUUUUCUUACGGUCUGUAGAGUAAAACCGUACAAAAGUCUGAAGGCAGAAAGCCUCCACAUAGCAGCUUGAGGAUCUUGAUGUUUGAGCCAAGGAGCUGAUGUUACAUCUGAAGAAAAAUUUGGAGGAGUAACAGCAAACAGACUUUGGGAAAAUUUCUUUCUCCUAAUCAUAGAAUGGCCUGGGUUGAAAAGGACCUCAAAGAUCAUUUUAAUUUCAACCCCUUGCCAUAGGCAGGGUCAUCAAACACUAGACCAGGCUGCCCAGAGCCACAUCCAGCCUGGCCUUGGGUGUCUUCUGCACUGGGGCACUCACAACCUCUCUGGGCAACCUAUUCCAGUGAACAGGUUUCUCCUUGAAAGUAUUUGGUGAGUUCUGGGAUAAACGAGGGAACAUCCACCAAACACACAGUACUCAUGCCUUACCCAUCCUCCUCUUGUCCACAGCUCUGCAAAGAGUGAGGGAUGCAAGCUCAGGUUACCCCUGCACUCAGGCAUCCUUUGAAGGAAUGGGAGGGAAAAAUCAGUCAGCCUGCCCUGCAGAACAAAAUUCACAACAAAAGGAUCUGUUUAAAACCGUUUUCUGAUGUCACUCAAUUCCUUUCAUGAAAUCAUCAUCAUUGAUGCCUGUUGCUAUAACAACAUGUUAAUCUUUCUUCACUAUUACUCAUGCAACACAAAUGCCUACAGACACGUUACGAUUGUGAAGUACACCUGUAAAAUGUUCAUUUAAAAAUCUCUUAUGUGCAGUGUCUCAAUGGGAAGAAGCACAUUUAUUUACAGAAACAUCAUUUCUUGAAGAAAAGCCAGCUCCAAUUCAUCCUAAGCAGCCUGAGUGGAAAAAAAAUAAGGAGAAAAGAGCAUUCUUUGAGUGAAUCAGCA